GAAACGCCCGGUCCCAUUCCGAACCCGGAAGCUAAGCCCUUCAGCGCCGAUGGUACUGCACCCGCCAGGAUGUGGGAGAGUAGGACGCCGCCGAAC
rnacentral:rRNA from 1 species